ACGGCGAGUGAAGUGGGAUGAGCUCAAAUUUUAAAUCUGCCUCUUUUGAAUGAGGGGCUGAAUUGUAGUUUCGAGAAGUGUUUUCGGGCGAGCGGGGUAGGUCAAAGUCUUCAGGAUUUAGGCUUCACAGAGGGUGAGAGUCCCGUUAAAGACUUGUUCUCCGAGCCUGUGUGAUACACUUAUACAAAGAGUCAGGUUGUUUGGGAUUGCAGCCUAAAUGGGGUGGUAAUUACCAUCUAAAGCUAAAUAUCGGCGGGAGACCGAUAGCGAACAAGUACCGUGAGGGAAAGAUGAAAAGAACUUUGAAAAGAGAGUUAAACAGUGCCUGAAAUUGUCGAAAGGGAAGCGCUUGAAGCCAGUCAUGCGGCGGGGAAUCAGCAGCAAUACUCCAGGGUGGUGCUGUGCAAUUCCCCUUUCGCACAAGGGACUUUUGGUCCUUUGUGUGGUCGCUGGUCAACAUCAAUUUGUCUCGCAGGAAAAGAGCUGGCAGAGGCUCUUUGAGCAAUGCCUGCCCUCCCCUCUUUUUGUUUUUUAUUUAGAUACUGCGGGGCAGAUUGAGGACUUUUUGGCCCCUCUCUCCCUCACCUAAGAAAAAUUUUCUUUUGUUUUUUUUUUUUUAGCCAUGGGAGGAGGUCGGGGGCGAUGUUGACGAAAUGGAUUUAAACGUCCCGUCUUGAAACACGGACCAAGGAGUCUAACGCACACGCAAGUGUUUGGGUGUCAAACCCUGGCGCGAAAUGAAAGUGAAUUGUGAGAUGACUCUUUUUGUUAUGCAUCACAAACCGGUCUGGAUUAAUUAAACUUAUGAUAGAUCUGAAUAAGAGCGUGUUUGUUGGGACCCGAAAGAUGGUGAACUAUGCCUGUGUAGGAUGAAGUAAGGCGAAAGCCUUAUGGAAGUCCGUAAGCGUUCUAACGUGCAAAUUGAUGUUCAAACAUGGGUAUAGGGGCGAAAGACUAAUCGAACCGUCUAGUAGCUGGUUCCAGCUGAAGUUUCCCUCAGGAUAGCAGAAACGUGUAAAACAGUUUUAUGGGGUAAAGCGAAUGAUUAGAGGCUUGGGGGUUGAAACAACUUUCACUUAUUCUCNNNCUUUAAAUAUGUAAGAAGUCUUGG
rnacentral:rRNA from 1 species